UAAGUGUUAUCUGUUAUUAGUUUUGUAAUUACCUCAGGAUUGUUCUUAUUAUAAACUAACAAAGGUGCAGAAGAAGGAAGUAAAGUGUUACUAAAUUUAACCUUUUACCAAGGUUUCUAUUUAGAUAUCAUAUUGUUAACUGAAAAGGUGUUGUACGCCAUAAGAUCAGUCAAAUUCUCUCUUUUCUCAAUCUCUUUUGAGUCACAUAAGCCACGUAAAGUAAAUAUCCUACUGAUUUUUCAUUUUUGAAUGAAGUAUUUUGCCUUUUAACCGAAUGGGCUAGUGCACAAAAGUGAGUGAUGUAUUCCUUGUAUUAAGGCUUCGAAAUAUGUCAAUUGUUGGUAAGCUUUUUGCACAUUGCUAAAUGGCAUUGGAAAUGAAACUUGUAUUCUUUUAGUUUUUUUUUGGUAAAAAUAUUCCUUUACUUUAUAUAUGAAAUGGGUCGGACUAAUAUUAUAUAUGUAGUUCUAUCAUUUUGGCUCUUGGAAUUUUUUUUCUUUUGCCUAAUACAUAAGUAGUACAACCGUGGUCGGACCACGAUAAUCGCAGUCACAAUCUUCUG
rnacentral:lncRNA from 1 species